rnacentral:lncRNA from 1 species
CUGCUGCUUCAGUCCCAGCUCAGAUCCGCCUCCCAAGGAACCUCUUGUGUCAGACCUGGUGCUGAGACAGCCAAAGCAUCCGGUCCAGCCCAGGCCAGAGCCAGGAAACCCUUGUGAUCCGGAAAAUUAGAAAUGUGGUCAAGGUCGGGACCCGGAACUGAGCAGGCCUUCGGUGGGCUGUCCCAGGGUGGAGACCAAGGAGAAGGGGAGGCUCAGCCAAGACUUUCACCCAGGGCAACGAGGGGCAGCCAGUCCUACGGGGUCACCUUCAGGGCUCAGUGGCUGCAGUUAUGAUACUGAAGGGAUAAGAGGAGUCAGAGGAAGGGAAGAAACCCCGUAUCUGGCCAGGCGGAGAGCUCACUGGUUCUGGAGCAAAAUCUUUCGGGACAACUGCAACAGGGCCGGGAGAGGUGAGAGCUCAACAACCUCAACGGAGGCAGAGAAUCUCACAGCAUCACCAGAGAGUUCCCCGGGCCGGCUGCUCUUCAGGCAGGCGUGUGUUUGUGGGAGAGGUGCACUGUUAAUGGCUCUGAGGCUCUGAAGCUCCGUCCAACUAUGGCUUAAAGAAGCUAAUAAAAACUUCACGGAGAUUUAGAGACAACUAAUGACAUCAGGAACGUUGGCUGCCAUGCCUACCUGCUCUAGUUCUCGUUUGGAAAUUCCCCAUGCUCAGCUGUGAAAGAACAGAAUGGAAACCAAUCAAGGGACGGGGGAUAUUGAUAUCUAGCCUACAUGGAUGGAGAAGACAUCGAAAGAUAGGGAGAAUGACAUCACAAAACCUUCAAUGCCUUCCAGUCCACAGGGAGGCGGUCACUCACAGAUGCAAUAACCUUUCGGGGUCUGCCUCUGAAAACAUUCAGUGAAAGUUGGUGACUUGGUUCAUUUUUCAGGCAAAGAAAUGAAGGCAUGGGUUGAAAAUAGACAGAGCUAUAAGGCUUUAAGAGUGGCAGCUUUCUGUCCAAAUUCCAACAAAAAUAGUUAUCAGAUCUCUCUCUCUUUUUUUUUAAAGGCAGCAGGAGAACAUAGAUCCAAAAUUCUGUGUAAUCCACUCAACUAAGACUAUAACAACAACAAACAGUUCUAUAGUGCAGUUUAUGUUAUUCUUGGCAGAGCUCAGAUCUCAGGUGACAUCAAAGGUGACUACAUAGAUAUAUAUACAAUGAAGUCAGCUUAUAAUUCAUUUCUAUUAGAUUUACAAAUUUAAACUGCUUAGGGCUUACAAGUUUCCGAGAGACAGAGAAUACCACAAAGAAGUGGAUAGAUGGCAGAUGACACAUGCGAGACCCAAAGUGCUAAUUUCCUGAAUAUACAAAGAGCUCUUACAAGUUAAUCAAAAGACAAAUAACUCAAUGAAGUAAUGGGCUCUUGCCUAUGUUAUGAAUAUUUUCAUCUGGUAUGACAUUUACUCUUUGAUUUCAUUAUUUUUGUGAUUUUCAUAGGCUUGUAUUUUAUGUAGUCAAAUCUCUAUGUCUUUCUAUCACUUUUGUGUUUAGAAGGACGUUCCUCCUUCUGAAGUACACAUAUUUGAUUUUGGAUUUGAGAUGGCAUUCAUUUCUGAUCCAUCUAUAAAGUUUUUGGUGUGUGGUUAAAGGUAAAAAUAGACUCACAUUUUCCUAAAUAAUUAGCCAGUUGUUCCAGCUCCAUUUAUUGAGUGGUCCUUCCUUUCCCAACUGAUGCGCGGUGUAACCUUUAUCAUAUAUUAAAUACUCAUGUGUGCUAAAAAUAAAAAGUCAUUUCAGUUGAGUGCUGUGAAUUAAUCCAAGGAGUUUGCAGAGGUGGCGUUUGCAGCAUGAGAUUGUCCUUCCUUUCCACUCCUCCCCAGAGACUGAAAACAGAGGGAAGGAAGCCAGGGAAACAUUAAACAAGGUCUGCUGCUCUGGAUAAUGUCUAUGAGGAAAAAAAACGCAGGCUGAGAUUUUAUGAUUUAAAGACUAUUAUGCUGCUUAAAGAACCCUGCAAGAGUAACAAUAGCUGCUAUUUAUUGGGCGCUUGCUCUAUGCCAGGCACUGUUCCCAGCGGCCCCGCCAUGACGUCACUCCAUCCUUACGACCUAACCCUAACCCACGCUAUGGACACUUUUAUCAUCGCCCCGAUUUUAGACAUGAGGAAACUGAGACUCUGAGACACUGUGUCCCUUACCCCACAGUCAUUCAGAAGAACAACCACCCCAAAUGUGGCUAAGCCAGCCAGUCAACAAGAGCGCUAGGAUUGUUACCUUCUUCAAAACAAUACCUCUCAGCAAAGCCAUCAAAUGUCAACCAACACACCAAGGAAGGUCCUUGCAGAUGGAACACAGGGAAACUGUUAUCUCACAGGAGUGGUACCAGCACGUAAGGGAGUCAAGCGCAGCAAAUUCUAAGGUGCAGAGAAAUGGACCACUGUCAAUUUCCAGGAACUCAUUUCACUCCUGUCUUUUCACAUUAAUGUUUCUCCUUUCCAGGAAAGCCAAGGAAAAGACUUUUCAUCCAACUGGCUUAGGAGGCAAGACAGAAACCUUUUCCGCAUAAGAUCCUAUCACAGCUGGGCAAAUUCUGUACCUAAAUCUUUGGAGAUGAGUGGCCUCUCGGUGUUUUCAUUAUUUAUAAUUAAUUGUUCAUUUAUCAGACUUUGUGGAGUGUCUCAAUGGGCAGCGAGGUGUGAGGCACAGGGAGUAUGUGGUAAAGCCCUCAAGCCCUCUGCCUUCACGCAGCAUCCAUUUGGGGGGAUGCACCCCCAACCCAAGGCGGGGGUGUGUGCUGUGGUGUCACAGGAAGUGCUGCCUUUCUCGAAUGGGGCUGUGUUUACACAGGGCCAGGAGAACUAGAUGCUGAAUUGGGGUCAGGCUUCAGGAGUCCUGGCUUUUGGGACCACUUUGACACUUCCUGUCUUCACAGCCGUCAUCCUAUUUCAGGAUUCUUAUCCCCAAAACAGGAAUAUUAACACAGCUCCGCCUGUCUCUGCAGGUCAUCAAGAGCAAGCACCUAGUGAGUGUGAAAGCAUCUUCAGUGUGGGAGUUGCUGUAUAGAUGCAGAGUUUUACUACUGAAAG